rnacentral:rRNA from 1 species
ACUCCUACGGGAGGCAGCAGUGGGGAAUCUUGCGCAAUGGGCGAAAGCCUGACGCAGCAACGCCGCGUGCGGGAAGAAGGCCUUCGGGUUGUAAACCGCUUUCAGAAGGAACGAAACUGACGGUACUUUCAGAAGAAGGUGCGGCCAACUACGUGCCAGCAGCCGCGGUGACACGUAGGCACCAAGCGUUGUCCGGAUUUAUUGGGCGUAAAGAGCUCGUAGGCGGUUCGGUAAGUCGGGUGUGAAAACUUUGGGCUCAACCCAAAGCGUGCAUUCGAUACUGCCGUGACUAGAGUUCGGUAGGGGAGUGGGGAAUUCCUAGUGUAGCGGUGAAAUGCGCAGAUAUUAGGAGGAACACCGGUGGCGAAGGCGCCACUCUGGGCCGAAACUGACGCUGAGGAGCGAAAGCGUGGGUAGCAAACAGGAUUAGAUACCCUGGUAGUC